UAGGGAAUAUUGCACAAUGGGGGAAACCCUGAUGCAGCGACGCCGCGUGAAGGAAGAAGUAUCUCGGUAUGUAAACUUCUAUCAGCAGGGAAGAAAAUGACGGUACCUGACUAAGAAGCCCCGGCUAACUACGUGCCAGCAGCCGCGGUAAUACGUAGGGGGCAAGCGUUAUCCGGAUUUACUGGGUGUAAAGGGAGCGUAGACGGCUGGAUCAGUCUGAUGUGAAAGCCCGGGGCUCAACCCCGGGACUGCAUUGGAAACUGUCCAGCUAGAGUGCAGGAGAGGUAAGUGGAAUUCCUAGUGUAGCGGUGAAAUGCGUAGAUAUUAGGAGGAACACCGGUGGCGAAGGCGGCUUUCUGGACUGAAACUGACGCUGAGGCACGAAAGCGUGGGGAGCAAACAGG
rnacentral:rRNA from 1 species